rnacentral:rRNA from 1 species
AUUGAACGCUGGCGGCAGGCUUAACACAUGCAAGUCGAACGAGUGGCGGACGGGUGAGUAAUGCUUGGGAAUCUGGCUUAUGGAGGGGGAUACCGACGGGAAAAGGUAGCUAAUACCGCAUACCAUCAGAUGUGCCCAGAUGGGAUUAGCUAGUAGGUGGGGUAACGGCUCACCUAGGCGACGAUCCCUAGCUGGUCUGAGAGGAUGACCGCCCACAUGGAAACUGGGAAACGGUCCAGACUCCUACGGGGGGCAGCAGUGGGGAAUAUUGCCCAAUGGGCGAAACCCUGAUGCAGCCAUGCGGGGUGUGUGAAGAAGGCCUCCGGUUUGUAAAGCACUUGCAGCGGGGAGGCGUUACCCGCAGAAGAAGCACCGGCUACCUCCGUGCCAGCGGCCGGGUAAUAC